rnacentral:rRNA from 1 species
GAUGAACGCUGGCGGCGUGCUUAACACAUGCAAGUCGAACGAUUAAGACCCCUUCGGGGGUGUAUAGAGUGGCGAACGGGUGAGUAACACGUGGGCAACCUGCCCCUUCCUCUGGGAUAACACGGAGAAAUCCGUGCUAAUACCGGAUACUCCAUAUCUGCGGCAUCGCGGAUAUAGGAAAGCUCCGACGGGAAGGGAUGGGCCCGCGGUCCAUUAGCUAGUCGGUGGGGUAACGGCCUACCGAGGCGACGAUGGAUAGCCGGGUUGAGAGACCGACCGGCCACAUUGGGACUGAGACACGGCCCAGACUCCUACGGGAGGCAGCAGUGGGGAAUUUUGCGCAAUGGGGGAAACCCUGACGCAGCAACGCCGCGUGCGGGAUGAAGGCCUUCGGGUUGUAAACCGCUUUCAGCAGGGAAGAAUACAGACGGUACCUGCAGAAGAAGCUCCGGCUAACUACGUGCCAGCCGCCGCGGUAA